rnacentral:misc_RNA from 1 species
CUUUGUGAAGGCUAAAAUAAGCAGAAAUUUACGUCCAGAAUUAGGAUUUGUGAAAGGAUGGAAUUGAGAAGCAAAUUUAAAUUAGAAUAUAUGAUUUUGGGCUAUGCACAGCAAAAUAAAAGGUUUAGCCUUCGCACCUAAAUUUUCUCAGACGUUACAAGGUUACAUAUGCAUCACCCCUAGGGUUGGAUUGCAUCACACAAAUCAAAGCAUAAUUGCUAAAAUUUGCAUUGAUCAAAAACUUCCAAACAACAUUACAUAGGUAUUUAUAUAUUUAAAAAAGUACUCCCAAACCUUGAAGGAUUUGGACUUCAAAAAGUAAUCCUUAACCAACAAGGACUCUAAAUAAAAACUCCUAUAGAAAUUUAGAUCUUUCCAGAAAAUCUAAAAUUACAAUUAUUGCUGUGACAAAAAAGGACCAACAACUAAUAUAUUUAAAUAUACAAUAAGAAAAACUCUAAAAGAACUAGGAAGUACUCUAUAAUUUC